rnacentral:lncRNA from 1 species
GACCGUGCAUGAUGCGGUUGUGAAUUGCAAAAGCAAGACUAUGGAUUUGAGGUGCGCAAAUAACGAGAUGAUCCGAGUUGAGUCUACGGACUUAAAGGGGUUGCCAGCUGUAAUAUCAUCAAUGUUGGCCCAGAAAUAUGUAAGAAAGGGGUGCGAAGCAUACCUUGCGUAUGUACGUGAUGAUAAGGAGUUAGAAAUAAAACUCGAAUCUGUGCCGGUGGUUUGUGAAUACCCGGAUGUUUUUCCCGAAGAAUUACCGGGUUUGCCACCUGUUCGGGAGAUAGAGUUUGGUAUUGAGCUUGUACCUGGGACUACGCC